UACGAAGGGUGCAAGCGUUACUCGGAAUUACUGGGCGUAAAGCGUGCGUAGGUGGUUGUUAAGUCUGAUGUGAAAGCCCUGGGCUCAACCUGGGAAUGGCAUUGGAUACUGGCGAGCUAGAGUGCGGUAGAGGAUGGCGGAAUUCCCGGUGUAGCAGUGAAAUGCGUAGAGAUCGGGAGGAACAUCUGUGGCGAAGGCGGCCAUCUGGACCAGCACUGACACUGAGGCACGAAAGCGUGGGAGCAAACAGG
rnacentral:rRNA from 1 species